UCUCCGUAGGUGAACCUGCGGAGGGAUCAUUACAGAGUUCAUGCCCUCACGGGUAGAUCUCCCACCCUGUGUUAUUAUACUUUGUUGCUUUGGCAGGCCGCCCGCGUGGGCUACCGGCUCCAGCUAGUAAGUGCCUGCCAGAGGACCCCAAACUCUGAAUAUUUUAUUGUCUGAGUACUAUAUAAUAGUUUAAAACUUUCAACAACGGAUCUCUUGGUUCUG
rnacentral:misc_RNA from 1 species